UUGCAUCUGCUCCUCCAAUAUCUGGCGACGUCUCAAUACUUUACUUUAUAAUAGUAGGGACAUUGGUACCAUUACUAUUGGUUAUGAUAGUAGUAAUAGCCAUCAUCAUCAUUGCAUUAGUUAUAAUGAAGAGGAGGGUGAAGAAGAAUUUGUACAUUGUCAAUGAAUCCCCUACUACUUCAGCUGAAGAAAUGCAAACUGAAACAAUACAAGCUUUCUCUCCAACUGAAGUAGUAUCAUUAC